AGUGAACGCUGGCGGUAGGCCUAACACAUGCAAGUCGAACGGCAGCACAGUAAGCGCUUGCUCUUACGGGUGGCGAGUGGCGGACGGGUGAGGAAUACAUCGGAAUCUACUUUUUCGGGGGGGAUAUCGUAGGGAAACUUACGCUAAUAGCGCAUACGACCUACGGGUGAAAGCAGGAGAUCUUCGCACCUUGCGCGUCUGAAUGAGCCGAUGUCGGAUUAGCUAGUUGGCGGGGUAAAGGCCCACCAAGGCGACGAUCCGUAGCUGGUCUGAGAGGAUGAUCGGCCACACUGGAACUGAGACACGGUCCAGACUCCUACGGGAGGCAGCAGUGGGGAAUAUUGGACAAUGGGCGCAAGCCUGAUCCAGCCAUGCCGCGUGGGUGAAGAAGGCCUUCGGGUUGUAAAGCCCUUUUGUUAGGGAAGAAAAGCAGCAGGUUAAUACCCCGCUGUUCUGACGGUACCCAAAGAAUAAGCACCGGCCAACUUCGUG
rnacentral:rRNA from 1 species